rnacentral:tRNA from 1 species
UUAAUAGAAACCAAAAAGAGGUAUACCACUGUUAAUGGUAAAAUUGAAUUUAUUUCCUAUUAAG